UCAAUAUUAACUGUGAUAUAUUGUGGUGACAACUGCCGAGCAUCUUUGGGCUGCAUAUUCGCCAUCUUUGAUAAUUUCUUUGAAAUUUGUUUUUAGUAGUGAUGUGUUUGGUCAUUACAAGUAAAUUUUAAGAGGAUACAUAAGUUAGACCCGAAAUGGGAUUAUUUAAGCUGAAGAUUAUUGUUUUAGGCGACGCUGGAGUAGUUUUCUACUCCGGUUCAUUGAUCCAGACUUCGAUUUGACCCAACCUAUAACAACUGGCAAAACAUGAUUGGAAGGCAGCAGUUCCAUCAUUAUCAAGCUGCAGCAUGAGAAGAUUGACUUCAAAAUGGCACAGUAUUGAACAA